GACGUAGGGCGCAAGCGUUGUCCGGAUUUAUUGGGCGUAAAGAGCUCGUAGGCGGCUCGUUGCGUCGGCUGUGAAAACCCGCAGCUCAACUGUGGGCUUGCAGCCGAUACGGGCGGGCUGGAGUUCGGUAGGGGAGACUGGAAUUCCUGGUGUAGCGGUGAAAUGCGCAGAUAUCGUAAGGAAGACCAGUGGCGAAGGCGGGUCUCUGGACAGUUCCUGACGCUGAGGCACGAAGGUCAGGGGAGCAAACGGG
rnacentral:rRNA from 1 species